rnacentral:misc_RNA from 1 species
GAUGAAGAACGCAGCGAAAUGCGAUAAGUAGUGUGAAUUGCAGAAUUCAGUGAAUCAUCGAAUCUUUGAACGCACAUUGCGCCCUUUGGUAUUCCUUAGGGCAUGCCUGUUCGAGCGUCAUUUAAACCUUCAAGCUCAGCUUGGUGUUGGGUGACCGUCCGCUUCACCGCGGACUCGCCUCAAAAUUAUUGGCGGCCGGUACAUUGGCUUCGAGCGCAGCAGAAACGCGAACUCGGGCCCGUCGUAUUGGCUCCCAGAAGCUAUCUUCACAAUUUUGACCUCGGAUCAGGUAGGGAUACCCGCUGAACUUAAGCAUAUCAAUAAGCGGAGGA